rnacentral:rRNA from 1 species
GUGCAAACGUUGCUCGGAAUCAUUGGGCGUAAAGCGCACGUAGGCGGCCUGUUAAGUCGGAUGUGAAAGCCCCGGGCUCAACCCGGGAAGUGCAUUCGAAACUGGCGGGCUUGAAUAUGGAAGAGGGUCGCGGAAUUCCCGGUGUAGAGGUGAAAUUCGUAGAUAUCGGGAGGAACACCAGUGGCGAAGGCGGCGACCUGGGCCAAUAUUGACGCUGAGGUGCGAAAGCGUGGGGAGCAAACAGG